GUCUCUGUAACCGGCCCGAGAAGAGGUGCGUCCUCUAACCCUAAUUGCUCCAUCGAAUGUUUGCAGAUCGUCUCUCCUUUCCUCUGACGAUGGCGCAUGACGUCUAAGCUUCCUUUCCCAGACUCAAACUGAUGGAGUUGUGUGUUUAUUCCAAUUAAUUCCAUCACCCACUAUGAAGUCUUCGUGUUUAUAAAUAGGGUUUUCGAUUCUGUCAGACUCAUCAGUUUCUUCCUCAGUCACCAAAUCCAAGUAUUUAAAGGAAAGCUCCGCGUCUGAUAAUGGAGGAAACAAGACUGAUUUGCCAACCACCACGAAAAUAAUUGUUUCAGUAUGCGAAGUUGGUUAAUGGAACUUGGGAUCAGAAACAGUUCGAGAAUGGGAUCAUAAACAGUUCGAGAAAGAAGGCGAAACAUAUUGGGAUUCGGUAGUAGUUUCUGAUGCAAAUAGGAGAAAGUGCUUGGAGAUAUCCCAGAAACAACUACUAAUGCAAUUUUUGUUGAUGAAACGUGGAGUCCGAGUUAUAUAUGCUGGAAGUCUACGAUAUCACUCACAAAUCUCGACUACUUUGAGUUUGUUGCAGGGAUUCCAAAUAUCAAGGAUGGAUACACUCCUGCAACGUGUAUUAGACCUGAGAGUUUCUUCCACUGUCAUUUACCGGAAUAUCGAUGUCUACUUCAGGAGAACUCAGGAGCUAAUCAAAGAGCUCAGUACUCCACCACCAGAAUCGAAAGUUCUCUACUUCCAAACUAGAGUACUGAGAUCGGAAAGACUGUUAAUGGUUUGAGGAAACAUGGCUCUGAUAAGAUUCGCCAACUUGCAAAGACUUUGAUCGGAGUGGAAGGAGCUGGUUGAUCAGUGGGUAACAAACAGGUGCUCAAGGUACACCAGAGUCUGCUAAUCCCUCUGUAGUUGAUGAAGAAGAAGAAGAACAUGAGUUUCCAUCACUUCCGUACGGUGUGAUAUUUUUUUUUUUUUUUUUUGACAACGUACGGUAUGAUAUUUUUACACCGGAAGCAAACAGUUUUGAAAUGUUAAAUGGAAGUAAGGUACCCUCAGUACAAUGACAUCUGGUUUUUCAUGGCAAUAUUGGCUUGGGUGUUGUACAGUAUGAUCACAUCUCAAGUAGGAGACAGGGAUUUGAUAGUGCAGAUCGCUGGUGUCGGAAACAUGAGCCUUAAAACGUUUUUGAAAGAUAGGUUCGGGUUCGAACAUGAGUUCUUACCAUCUGUAGCUGACGUCCACAUAGGAUAGAUAGUGAUCUUUAUCUUUGCUUAUGAUAUCAAAUUCUUCAACGUACAUCCCUUUGUUUCUCCACCUUUGAAAUGAACUUCUUACAUUAAAAAUUA